GAUGAACGCUGGCGGCGUGCCUAAUGCAUGCAAGUCGAGCGAACAGACGAGGAGCUUGCUCCUCUGACGUUAGCGGCGGACGGGUGAGUAACACGUGGAUAACCUACCUAUAAGACUGGGAUAAAUUCGGGAAACCGGAGCUAAUACCGGAUAAUAUAUUGAACCGCAUGGUUCAAUAGUGAAAGACGGUUUUGCUGUCACUUAUAGAUGGAUCCGCGCCGCAUUAGCUAGUUGGUAAGGUAACGGCUUACCAAGGCAACGAUGCGUAGCCGACCUGAGAGGGUGAUCGGCCACACUGGAACUGAGACACGGUCCAGACUCCUACGGGAGGCAGCAGUAGGGAAUCUUCCGCAAUGGGCGAAAGCCUGACGGAGCAACGCCGCGUGAGUGAUGAAGGUCUUCGGAUCGUAAAACUCUGUUAUUAGGGAAGAACAAAUGUGUAAGUAACUAUGCACGUCUUGACGGUACCUAAUCAGAAAGCCACGGCUAACUACGUG
rnacentral:rRNA from 1 species